rnacentral:lncRNA from 1 species
UAGAUGUCUGCCUGAAUAGCCCUCCCCGAGCACAUCCCGUGCUGCCUCCCUAACCAGAUUUGCCGUCUCUGACUACAUUGCGUCCGCUUUGCCAGAACUCCUCCAAGCUCCACCAUCAACUAACCUCCUCUCCAGCUCUUGGGCUUUCUCCUUAGACAAAGCACCCCAUCUAAUCCACGGCGGCCCCAGGCACCCUUCCUCUUUCUCUUCACCCAGAGACCGACGUCCAUCACUAGGAGUCUAUGGAGAGUCGAAAGGGACUCU